AACGCAUCUUGCGCUCCAUGGUAUUCCGUGGAGCAUGUCUGUUUGAGUGUCAUGAAAUUCUCAACCCUUGGGUUUUGCUAGUCGAUUCCCUUGGGCUUGGAUCGUGGAGGCUCUGCCGGCUGUGAAGUCGGCUCCUCUGAAAUGCAUUGGCAAAUGCGUGUGCAUGAAUCGGCCUUUCGGUGUGAUAAUGAUCACCGUGGCUGGAUUGCUUUAACGUCUAUGCCCAACCUUUUCCAUUGACUUGGAAAAACCCCACUUGACAUUUUGACCUCAAAUCAGGUAGGACUACCCGCUGAACUUAA
rnacentral:rRNA from 1 species